UUUAAGUGCAACUAUAUAUGAGUUUCCGCGCUCAACUUUUAUCAUCUGUCUUAUUUGAAAAUUUUUACAAUUAGUAUUUUUGUUGUUAUGAGAUGAUAAAAUAUAAAUAGUACUUUACUCGUGACUUAUGUUUUUAUUUUUUUUCAAAAGAUUUUCAAAUCAGACGGUCGGUCAAAGUUGGACGUGGAAAACUGUGGCUGCACUUAAA
rfam:Oryza meridionalis cultivar OR44 (W2112) chromosome 6, whole genome shotgun sequence.